rnacentral:rRNA from 1 species
ACCCAGACGGAUACGUACGGCGAGGUGAAGCGGCAACAGCUCAAUUUGAAUCAGGCUCCUCGGGGUCGAGUUGUAAUUUGCAGAGGGUGCUUUGGCGUUGGCGGCGGUCUAAGUUCCUUGGAACAGGACGUCACAGAGGGUGAGAAUCCCGUAUGUGAUCGCUAGCCUUCGCCGUGUAAAGCCCCUUCGACGAGUCGAGUUGUUUGGGAAUGCAGCUCUAAAUGGGAGGUAAAUUUCUUCUAAAGCUAAAUACUGGCCAGAGACCGAUAGCGCACAAGUAGAGUGAUCGAAAGAUGAAAAGCACUUUGGAAAGAGAGUCAAAAAGCACGUGAAAUUGUUGAAAGGGAAGCGCUUGCAGCCAGACUUGCCUGUAGUUGCUCAGCCGGGCUCCGGCCCGGUGCACUCUUCUGCGGGCAGGCCAGCAUCAGCACGGGCGGCCGGAUAAAGACCUCUGUCACGUACCUCCCUUCGGGGAGGCCUUAUAGGGGAGGUGAAAUGCGGCCAGCUCCGUGCUGAGGUCCGCGCAUCUGCUAGGAUGCUGGCGUAAUGGCUGUAAGCGGCCCGCCGAAAAACUACAAACAAAAGGGU